ensembl:lncRNA
UGUGUGUGUGUGUGAGUGAAUGUGUGUGUGUGUGUGUGAGAGAGAGUGAAUCUGUGUGUGUGUGUGUGUGAGAGUGUGUGUGUGUGUGUGUGUGAGAGUGAAUCUGUGUGUGUGAUGGUCUGACAGUGUAUGUGUGUGUGAUGGUCUGACGGUGUGUGUGUGUGUGUGUUCUGCACAGGCGAGUGUGUGGCAGGAAGAGGAAGGGGACGCCGGUGAAGGUGUGUGAAAGAGCGGCGUAUGUGACGGAGGACGAGGAGGAGAGUCUGUCUGAACACAGUUACAGCCCAGGGGAUGAGCAGUACACAGAGGGAGCUGAAGACCGGAUACCUGCGCCGAGCAGCCCGUUCUUCCUCACCGACCCGGCACAGCUCUGGUACAAGACCUGCUCUCAUUCACUUUUUAUUGGUUGGUGGCAAUGAGCUUCCACAGUGCUCAGCCGUGUUGACUCUGAAUGUGCCGUGUGUUUGUGUGUCCUGCAGUGUGCCAGAGCUGGCUGAAGAGGGCGCUAGCGGCGUCCGCGGCCCUGUGCUGUUCCACCCAGCGCCCAACUGCAGGAUUAGAGAGGUGCAUUGUGGGAGUCAGGUCCGGCUCGUCGUCAUAGCCAUUCGAGACAUUGCCAAAGGAGAGGAGAUCACAGUGGACUACAGCCUGACCGACUGGGGAGAAAAUGCCAUGGUGAAUGACCAGAACCUCACUGAAACACGCUAUACUGUAUUCUCCGCACAUCUGCGUAACCUUUAAUUCAUUCAUGAUCUAUUAAACCGCAGGGCUUUCAUACUUCGGUGUCCCCGCGCGGGUUUGAAUGUGGAUUCAACCCAGAGAGCAACAUCAAGAAGGAGGAGGAGCCGGGUUCACUCCCAAUGUCUCUCAGCGUUUCUGACUACCUCACUCCGUCAUGGUCCCUGUCUCCCUCCUCCUCUCCGCUGUCUCACUCCGAGGCCAGAGACUCUGACCGAGAGGAGGACGAAGAGGAGGAGGACGACGACGACGACGACGAUGAUGAUGACGACGAAGAUGAUCUGGAGGAUCUGCGGGGCCGCAUGAUGAGACGCCGCAAGAAACAGAAAACCUCGGCGACCAUCAAGAAGAAAGCCCAGCCCCGCCCCCUGUCCUUCACAUGCCCCGCCCCUUCCUCACCGACGCCCUUCCAGCAGCCUCUAGCCCCGCCCACCACCAACAUAAACAAUAACAUAAACAUAAACAUCGGCGCGAGCGGCGCGCUCUCCCGCAGACAGCACUGUCCCUACUGCGGCCGUCACUUCCGCUCGCUCGCUAGGCACCUGGAGAAACACCACGAGCAGCAGCCCGAGGUCCGAGCAGCCAUGGAGCUGUCGCACCCCCCCGCCUCCUCGCACCCCGUCACAUCUCCCUCUCAGCCCUCGCCCUCCCUGUUUCCCCGCGAGCGAGACGCUUCGUCUUCAGCGCCGAAGUCCGGAGGCGUCUCCUUCUCGCUCUCGCUGUCUCCGCCUCCUGCCUCCAAUACCGCAAAAAAGAGCUCAGCGACAGCGCCUAAAAACAAGAGCCCGGCCGUCUCGCCCAAGCCUCCCGCCAGGAGAGGACGGCCGCCGAAGAAAGAGAAAGAACAGCAGCAGAAGAAGCAGGAGGAGCCCGGGAAACAGGAGGAGGAGGUGGAGGAGGAGAAGAAUCAAGAAGACGGAGGCGCAGAGGAGAAGAACAGUGACGUGGCGAGGGAAGCGCGGCGUGCUGAAGCGGCCGUGGUCAGAGGCGGAGCGAGUCGCAGUGGAGACGCACCUGAAGAGGAACAUCAUGGAGCUGCGUGUGCCUGCGAAAGCGGACUGUGAGCGAUGCCUGCAGCUCUGCCCUCUGCUGGUCAGUAACCAGCGCGACUGGAGAGCCAUCAAGUUCUACUGCCACAACCGCAUCCAGCUCCUGAAGAAACAGGGACGCAGAGACGGGAACACCGCCGCCGUCUGCUAACCACAGUAACACACACACACACAGAGACACACACACACACACACUCACACACACACACACUCACUCACACUCACACACACACUCACGCACACACACACACACACACACACACACUCUCACA